AAAAUCCUCACAGUAUCAAGUACAGUGGUACAAUUCAAGGGCUUAAGUAUAUAUGGAGAACCGAAGGCCUUCGUAGACUGUUUAAGGGCAAUGGAAUAAACUGUGCAAGGAUCGUCCCAAAUUCCGCUGUGAAAUUCUUCAGCUAUGAGCAAGCAUCAAGAGAAUGCUCAGCCUAGUCCACUCUUGCGCCUUGGAGCUGGAGCCACAGCUGGCAUCGUAGCCAUGUCUGCUGCUUAUCCCAUGGAUAUGGUUAGGGGUAGGAUUACUGUUCAGGCAGAGAAGUCUCCCCGUGGUAUGUUUCAUGCAUUGGACACAGUGUACUGUGAAGAAGGCUUUCAGUGCUUUAUACAGAGGGAGGCUUCCGUCAUUGAUUGGAGCUGUCCCUUAUGUUGGACUUAACUUUGAUGUAUACGAUUCUCUGAAGGACUGGCUCCUCUGGACAAAUGCGCUUGCAAAGUACAACGGGUUUCACAUAGUAACAAGGCUUGGAUGCGGAGCUGUGGCUGGAACCAUAGGGAAGACUGGCAUACCCUCUUUGAUGCUGUCAGGAGAAGAAUGCAGAUUUUUUUUUUUUUUGAAAAAGAGAGCGGCCUCUCCGAUUUCUAUUUAUCAGAAACCAUAGCGUCUUGGAACAAACAUAAGAGAAGCUGAAGCUAAGGAAAUGAGAAGAAUGCAGAUGGUUGGCUGGAACCUGGAAUCACGCUGCUUCUGUUGUUACUGGAGAAGGCAAAGAGGCAUUCAGGAAGAAUGCAGAUGGUCGGCUGGAAUCACACUGCUUCUGUUGUUACUGGAGAAGGCAAAGAGGCACUCCAGUACAAUGGUAUGACUGAUGCAUUCAGGAAACUGUUGGCCACGAAGGAUUUGGUGCUCUGUUCAAGGGUCUUGGGCCCAACUCAGUGAAGCUGGUGCAUUCCAUAGCUGCAUUCGUCACGUACGAGGAUGUUCUUGUAGUAGAAGGCGAGUACAAGGACAAUUGGACUGACCGAGGCUCCAUUCAGCACAAGAAGGCCCUCGCAGCCCCUGUCGAUAUAUCUAUCCUACUACUGGUCAAGGCCCUAAUUGUUGCCGCACCGCACUCUUGGGGAAGUAAUAAGUUGGCUGGUGAAGACCCUAAUUGUUGCCGCACCGCACUCUUGGGAAAGUAAUAAGUUGUUGGCAUUUCCUAGUCUGCCUGUUUGUAAUUGGUGACUUGUAAGUCCCAUUUGUCUACAGCCACUGGGUGUUGUAUCACUAGUAGUUUCCAUGAGCAUGAGUGAUGAAAUGUCACUUGACGAACAACUAUUUUUGCCUAGUUUCUGAUAUUAUGUACUGAAUUUAUGUAAAUUUUGCUUCUGGGCUUACAUAGCUUGUUGGUGGGUCGAUUGA